AAAGUUUCAGGGAUAUGUAUUAUGCAUAAUGUCUCUCCAUACAUACAUACACUUCAUGUCACAUGAGUUAUCUGAAAGAUUCAUGUUUUUUUUAUAAAACAUUGAAAUAUNUCAUGUCACAUGAGUUAUCUGAAAGAUUCAUGUUUUUUUAUAAAACAUUGAAAUAUUAUCUUUAAGUUGUUGAGCCUCCUUGUACCCCUGUAUCAUUCAAUCACAAAUAAGGUGGUUAUGAUGGAUUCUUAGCUAACUCAUUCAUAUUUUCAACAAACCCUUAACCAAAUCCUUCAUUACAUAUAUUUUACUUUCCUUUUUCUCUAUCUUGUUCACCUAUAUCUCCAAUACCCCUUUUCACCCUAAUGUGUCGAUCUCAAUGGAACAUUUUUAGCUAAAAAGUAAGAAAAAUGUAUUGACAACUCAUACCAUUUUGCAAGAAAGGCACAUACAUGAAGACAGGGGCCAUGAUUCGAUAAUCAAAUAUUGCAAAACUCAGUGAAGCAAAUAAUCAAACACUUAGUGGGCAAUAAAAAUCCAACACAU
rnacentral:lncRNA from 1 species